GAAAAGCCUUUGUUCCACCGCUCCCGCUAAGGCCCACGGAAAGCCUUCGUUCCACCGCUCCGGCUAGCCGCACUUGUCGCCAUCUCUCACAGUAGCAUCAGUUCUCUCACAGUAGCAUCAGUAGUACUGGCUGAAAAAGAAAUGGAAGGAAAAGUUAUGGAAGGCGUUGCUUCAGUAGCACUAAUGGAUAACGGGUGUAUUUCCGGUCACUUUAUUCACCUUCCUCAUUCUAUCUGUUAUGGCAUACAUGGAACUGAGAUGGUUUGUGAAAGGGAAUGCAGUAGGGGUGAGGAUUACCGUUUGGUGAAACUUACAAUCAUUGACUACAAUAGAAAAAGAGAAAGGGAUGUUAUUGUGGAGUGCAGAGGACAUGAUGCUGCUAGGAUUCAGAAUGUUCAACAUGCCCAUGGAUGGGAUGAUGAUGUUGUCAAUAUGCUUGACGAGAAGGAACAAAAGCACAAGAUUCUUGUUUCUUUCGAGUGUGAGACACUGAAAGGAGGUAAAGAAGCUGAGGACCAUAUCAACAAAUUCAUGCCCAAAUUAGCUGGGACAGAUGCUGUUGUUAACAUUGGCAAGAUGACGAUUGUAGGCUUGGACUUCGAAGAUGCAACUGGUGAUGAAGAUAAUAACCAGCAGAAUAUUUGAGCUGCAGCUCAGCUGCAGUAUCUUGUGUCUUUUGGGCAAUUGACUUCAACAAUUGUUUCAGAAUAUAAAUUGGGAUGUAUUAUAUAGUUACUCAUGCAGUUUUUAGCUUAUUAUCUUGGCAUUAUGUUAUCU
rnacentral:misc_RNA from 1 species